AUUGAACGCUGGCGGCAUGCCUUACACAUGCAAGUCGAACGGCAGCGGGGGAGAAGCUUGCUUUUCCUGCCGGCGAGUGGCGAACGGGUGAGUAAUACAUCGGAACGUGCCCUGCAGUGGGGGAUAACUAGUCGAAAGAUUAGCUAAUACCGCAUACGACCUGAGGGUGAAAGUGGGGGACCGCAAGGCCUCAUGCUAUAGGAGCGGCCGAUGUCUGGUUAGCUAGUUGGUGGGGUAAAGGCCUACCAAGGCGACGAUCAGUAGCUGGUCUGAGAGGACGAUCAGCCACACUGGGACUGAGACACGGCCCAGACUACUACGGGAGGCAGCAGUGGGGAAUUUUGGACAAUGGGCGAAAGCCUGAUCCAGCAAUGCCGCGUGUGUGAAGAAGGCCUUCGGGUUGUAAAGCACUUUUGUCCGGAAAGAAAUGGCUCUGGUUAAUACCUGGGGUUGAUGACGGUACCGGAAGAAUAAGGACCGGCUAACUACGUGCCAGCCGCCGCAGUAA
rnacentral:rRNA from 1 species